rnacentral:rRNA from 1 species
AGAGUUUGAUCCUGGCUCAGGAUGAACGCUAGCGGCAGGCCUAAUACAUGCAAGUCGAACGCGAUCGGGGUGCUUGCACCCCGUGAGAGUGGCGCACGGGUGCGUAACGCGUGAGCAACCUACCCUUGUCAGGGGGAUAGCCCGGCGAAAGUCGGAUUAACACCGCAUGACAUCCCUGGAGGGCAUCUUCCGGGGAUCAAAUAUUCAUAGGACGGGGAUGGGCUCGCGUGACAUUAGCUAGUUGGCGGGGUAACGGCCCACCAAGGCGACGAUGUCUAGGGGCUCUGAGAGGAGAAUCCCCCACACUGGUACUGAGACACGGACCAGACUCCUACGGGAGGCAGCAGUAAGGAAUAUUGGUCAAUGGGCGCAAGCCUGAACCAGCCAUGCCGCGUGCAGGACGACUGCCCUAUGGGUUGUAAACUGCUUUUGUCGGGGAAUAAACCCACCUACGAGUAGGUGGCUGAACGUACCCGAAGAAUAAGGAUCGGCUAACUCCGUGCCAGCAGCCGCGGUAAUACGGAGGAUCCAAGCGUUAUCCGGAUUUAUUGGGUUUAAAGGGUGCGUAGGCGGUCUUUUAAGUCAGGGGUGAAAUACGGCAGCUCAACUGUCGCAGUGCCCUUGAUACUGAAGGACUUGAAUAUGGUUGAGGUAUGCGGAAUGAGACAAGUAGCGGUGAAAUGCAUAGAUAUGUCUCAGAACACCGAUUGCGAAGGCAGCAUCCCAAGCCAUGAUUGACGCUGAUGCACGAAAGCGUGGGGAUCGAACAGGAUUAGAUACCCUGGUAGUCCACGCCCUAAACGAUGAUAACUCGAUGUUGGCGAUAGACAGUCAGCGUCCAAGCGAAAGCGUUAAGUUAUCCACCUGGGGAGUACGCCCGCAAGGGUGAAACUCAAAGGAAUUGACGGGGGCCCGCAC